rnacentral:tRNA from 1 species
GGCAAGAUAGCCGAGUGGUCUAAGGCGCUGCACUUAAGAGACCAGUCUCUUCCUCUAAAAACAGGAUUUGCAGUAUCGUAAGAUACCGUGGUUCGUCCCCGUCUUGUCA